AGACCAUUGAGCUUUGGGGGGUGUUUGUCACCAAGUCUGGAAAGUUUUCAGCCCUUAUUUUUUCGCAUAUCCCCUCUCCCUUCCUCUCUUCUCCUGGGACUCCCACGGGGCACCUUGGUCUGCCUGAUGGCCUCCCUCAGGUCCUUGGGGUGCCCAUCACUUUUCCUCAAUCUGUGUUCUUUCUGUUGCAGAUUCAGUGGUUUCCACACCGAGUCUGUGAGCUUGCUGGUUCUUUCUUCUGGGAGCUCAAGUCUGCCUUCACUUCUUGCGCAGGGACCAUGCUAAUCUUCUCUGUAUCAUUCCGAUUUUAGUACAUGUGCUGCCAAAGCGAGCACAAAAAGUUGUAGCUGGACACAAUCCUUUUAUUUAUUUUUAUGUGGUGCUGAGGAUCGAACCCAGGGCCCCGCAUGUGCUAGGCGAGCGUUCUACCAUUGAGCCACAACCCCAGCUCCGUCCGCCUUCGAUUCUACUUCAAUUUCUCGAGUGAGUCUCUCUCUCCAGUCGUUGUGUUUUGUGCUGUGGGUUCUUUUUUCGGUUUCUUUCAGGCUGUGUGUCUCUUUGUUGAUAUCUCCGCUAUGUUUACACAUUGUUCCCUCAGCUUUCUGCAUAUCUGAGCAUCCUUAAGAUAGUUAUGUGAAUGGCAGCCAUUAUGAAGUCAAACAACAACAAGUGCUGGUGAGGAUGUGGGGAAAAGGGUACACUUGUAUAUUGCUGGUGGGACUGCAAAUUGGUGCGGCCACUUUGGAAAGCAGUUUGGAGAUUCCUGGGAAAGCUGGGAAUGGAACCACCAUUUGACCCAGCUAUUGCCCUUCUCGGACUAUUCCCUAAAGACCUUAAAAGAGCAGGGAGGAAGAGCAUGAGAAGAAGAUCACCAUUAAACAGGGACGAGAGGGGGGAGGGAAAGGGAGAGAGAAGG
rnacentral:lncRNA from 1 species